GCAGAUGUAGCCUAGCUGGUAAGACGCCGGCCUUGAGUGUUAAAUACCAAUGUAAUCAAGUAAGCCGGUACGCGUAAGCGUUCGGGGGUUCGAGUCCCUCCAUCUGCG
rnacentral:tRNA from 1 species